GUGUGUGCACUGUGGGGGAUGGACAGGGAGAAGGGGUCGCUCUUACCUCGCCCAAGAUUGAAGGAGAUCCUGGCCUCUGCGAGGCAGUAGAUGGUACGACCCCGUUGUCACAGGCGAAUGAUGGACCCUGGGUCUCAACCGCUUCUUAAAUGGAGAUCAACAGGAUCUGCUGAUGCUAAAGAGAGGCCUGGCUCUGCGAUCACCCGAGGGUGAGCGACCAACAGGACCUCUGUACCUCUCGCUGAAAAUGAUGUGGGAUUCAGAGAUUGAUGACUGGACCUAAGAAAAAAAUGCCCUUUCAUGGAAACAAAUGUAAAACCACAAACCUGAGGAUGUGAACACACCAAAACAGAAUGUACAUUUUAAGCAGAAGAGAGAUGCAGAAUACUUCCCAAGAAAGGGAUUACUGGGGAAAAAAAAUCUUUGGAGGCAUAAAAGGAUGAAAGGCAAGCAGCAUGCUGGGAUACAUCAAUAAAAGGGCAGCAUACCAAUCAAAAGACAUGAUGCUACUGGACAAGGCAUUUGUACAUCUCAAAAUAAUGUAUUCAGACACUUUAAAUAAAACCAGAA